CUACGUGCCAGCAGCCGCGGUAAUACGUAGGUGGCAAGCGUUGUCCGGAAUUAUUGGGCGUAAAGCGCGCGCAGGCGGAUUGGUCAGUCUGUCUUAAAAGUUCAGGGCUUAACCCCGUGAUGGGAUGGAAACUGCCAAUCUAGAGUAUCGGAGAGGAAAGUGGAAUUCCUAGUGUAGCGGUGAAAUGCGUAGAUAUUAGGAAGAACACCAGUGGCGAAGGCGACUUUCUGGACGAAAACUGACGCUGAGGCGCGAAAGCCAGGGGAGCGAACGGGAUUAGAUACCCCGGUAGUCCUGGCCGUAAACGAUGGGUACUAGGUGUAGGAGGUAUCGACCCCUUCUGUGCCGGAGUUAACGCAAUAAGUACCCCGCCUGGGGAGUACGACCGCAAGGUUGAAACUCAAAGGAAUUGACGGGGGCCCGCACAAGCGGUGGAGUAUGUGGUUUAAUUCGACGCAACGCGAAGAACCUUACCAGGUCUU
rnacentral:rRNA from 1 species